UAAAUAAGUAUGCUGUGAACAAAGUAGAA
rnacentral:piRNA from 1 species